rnacentral:rRNA from 1 species
GAUGAACGCUGGCGGCGUGCUUAACACAUGCAAGUCGAACGGAAAGGCCCAAGCUUGCUUGGGUACUCGAGUGGCGAACGGGUGAGUAACACGUGGGUGAUCUGCCCUGCACUUCGGGAUAAGCCUGGGAAACUGGGUCUAAUACCGGAUAGGACCACAUCUUGGGUGGUGUGGUGGAAAGUUUUUCGGUGUGGGCUGAGCUCGCGGCCUAUCAGCUUGUUGGUGGGGUACUGGGCUACCAUGUCGUCGAGCGGUAGCCCGCCGGGGAGGGUGGACGGCGUCAUGGGGACUGAGAUACGGCCCAGACGGCUACGUGAGGCAGCGGUGGGGAGUAUUGCCCAAUGGGAGCGAGCCUGAUGCAGCGGCGCCGCGUUGGGGAUGCCCGCCUUCGGGGUGUAAACUGCUUUCGCUAGAGACGAAGCGCUAGUGACGGUACCUGGAGAAGAAGCACCGGCUAACUACGUG